AUUGAACGCUGGCGGCAGGCCUAGCACAUGCAAGUCGAACGGUAGCACAGAGAGCUUGCUCUCGGGUGACGAGUGGCGGACGGGUGAGUAAUGUCUGGGAAACUGCCCGAUGGAGGGGGAUAACUACUGGAAACGGUAGCUAAUACCGCAUAACGUCGCAAGACCAAAGUGGGGGACCUUCGGGCCUCACACCAUCGGAUGUGCCCAGAUGGGAUUAGCUAGUAGGUGGGGUAAUGGCUCACCUAGGCGACGAUCCCUAGCUGGUCUGAGAGGAUGACCAGCCACACUGGAACUGAGACACGGUCCAGACUCCUACGGGAGGCAGUAGUGGGGAAUAUUGCACAAUGGGCGCAAGCCUGAUGCAGCCAUGCCGCGUGUAUGAAGAAGGCCUUCGGGUUGUAAAGUACUUUCAGCGGGGAGGAAGGCGGUGAAGUUAAUAACUUCACCGAUUGACGUUACCCGCAGAAGAAGCACCGGCUAACUCCGUGCCAGCCGCCGCGGUAA
rnacentral:rRNA from 1 species